CUCGUAGGCGGCCAACUAAGUCGGACGUGAAAUCCCUCGGCUUAACCGGGGAACUGCGUCUGAUACUGGAUGGCUUGAGAUUGGGAGGGGGAUGCGGAAUUCCAGGUGUAGCGGUGAAAUGCGUAGAUAUCUGGAGGAACACCGGUGGCGAAGGCGGCAUCCUGGACCAACACUGACGCUGAGGAGCGAAAGCCAGGGAGCAAACG
rnacentral:rRNA from 1 species